UUACCUCUGUGCUGUUUUAAUUACCUAAUGUCUGUGUAACUGCUGAUUUGAGUAGUGAUUAUUAGCAUUUGGAUAUUUUAUAACAUAGGAUUUUAGAGAGCACUUUGAAAGAACAUUUUAUUAUGAUGGUGCUAGCUAGGAAAAAAUUGUAAAGAUUGGGAUGGUUAUGUGGAAAAGAGAAUUCUUGGGAGAACCUGCUGGAAGGAAUUUGUCAUCACCUAAGGUAGGACAGUUGUUGAAGGAACUGUUUAUGCCAGUUUUUUUCUUAGCGUCUGGCUGAAUUAUUGAAUGAGAAGUUUAGAGGGUCCUUUAUUUUCAGCCCAUGCUUUUUUUUCUUUUAAAAUGUAGGAUUAGCUUACCUGAUAAUUUUAUUAUGAAAAUCACAUUUUUAUGUAAAUACCAGAUUCAAUAUAAGUUUGAUCUCAGGAGUCCAAAAGAAAUUGUGGUUUCCAGUGUCCUUCAUUUUAUUGACUGGGGUUUGAUCUGUUUCUAGCAGUGUUUGAAAAUUGGAUAGGAAAGGAUACUGUUAUUCACUGUCAUUCUCUUACCUCAGUUAAGCAACACAAUACUCUAUAGCUUUUGAGGGAAACACUGAUUUGCUUCUUUCCCCUGUCUCAUCUCCAGGGCAUGAUGGAAACAGUGCUGAAAGAGAAAUUUAGCAGAUGGUACUUUUCUUAGUAACCUCUGGAAUAAAAGAACUCUGAUAGUUUUUAAAUUGUCAGUCUUUGUGGGAGGUCAGUUUUUUUUCCUUUAGGUUUGUUUUUAACUGUAUUAGUCUAGGGGAUUUUUGCCUUAUGCUGAGGUCAAAACUAGGGCCAAGUACGCUUUUGUCCUUUAUAUUAACCGUAUGUCAUAUUGUAUGUUGUUAUGAGAUGAAUUUCUAUAUAAGAAAAGAAACAAAAAGAAUUGAGAAUCAUUUGUAUUUUGAUUUGGAAAUUAUGAAACAUCACUAUAGUAUGAUCAGACAGAUUUUCAAGAACAAAUGCUUAGACUGACCAAAGCUCACCUGUUUUUGAGUUAGGUGCUUUUGCUGAGCUUGAAUCCAGCCCCUAUUCCUUUUAGUACUGUGUAUGUCUGUUCUUCAAGUUUGUUUCCUGUCAAAUACAUCUUCAGUUCUUGCCCAUGUGCUCCUUGGCAGCUGGGAUACCAACAGCUGUGUAGUCCUCAUGUUGUUUCCUGGUAACCCACAAGUCCACUUUCAAGGCAGACCUAAGCUCAGACCCUGUCUUCAUCUGACAGGAGUUGGUUUUCCCAAACCACAGUGCUGAGAUGCGUAUUUGAUGCAGCUCUUAUUCUUGCAGUGUGUUGUUUCUUUGUGACUCAAGGGUGAACUAAAAUGCCUGUGAACUGCAAACUUAUGAUUGACUUGGUGCAAUAAAGUUCCUUUCUAACCAUUUCUGGUUUAGAAAAUACUCAGCCAUCCUAGAAACUAGCAAUAUUUAUUUUUGCCUCAUUUAUUUUACCUUCAGUUUUAGAUACUUUUUGUCUGUUCAUUUAUGGGUACUAAUCAAAGUCCAUUCUUGUGUAGCUGAAGAGAAUACAUAUUUGGCUACACUGUUCACUGUAUUUUGCUCCCUAUUUUGUCUAAAUGCUAUUGUUUUUCUUUUACAAUGGUAAAAAUGAUUCACUUCCAGUGUGUUACCAUCAAAGAACUAAGGCUUUGCUACUAGUGUCAGCCAUUUACUCUCCCAUUAAUAGGGAUUUUUAAAAAGAGGUUUUUCCCCCCUGAGAUACAAGUUUUAGAAAAUCUUAUAAGAGGGGUGGGUGCAUGUCUUAAUGCUGGGAAGCAGCAACUUUGGGGUUGAAUUUACUUGAAUGGGUUAAAAUUGCAUUGUUAACAGAGC
ensembl:lncRNA